AAAUGCAAAUCACAGCCUUCAGAAGCAAGCACACAGGCAUGUGAAUUUGAUAUCAGCAGGCAUUACCAAUGAGUCAUGCUUGAUGUUGUAAGAACUAGUCAGGAUGCCGGGCCUGUGGCCGAGUGGGGCAAAGAAAGGAGAGAGAAUGAAUGAGAGCUAACAAAGGGAGAGAACCAGCCGGACAGAGAUCUUUUCCAGAAAAAGUCAUGUGGGAUGCAAGAAAAAGACAGAGAACAGCCUUGGAUGUAAAUGUUAAAAACAUCAUUAAUGAUCUUGCAGAGAGAUGUGCCAGUGGAGCUGAUAUCUUACCACCAAAUGAUGGUGCUGACAACACUGCAGACUGAGAGAGUUUAUGAAGAUUUAAGGGAGCACAGAGAUUUGAGCAAAAAAAAUAGCAAAACAAAAUUCAGCCAAAAAAAGUGAACACAAACACAUCUGGGGAUAAUCUUAUAUAAAGAUGCCCAGUUGGAGAAAAUAAAAACAUGUGAAGCCUGGACCUGGAGUGAAAGCAGAUAGUGAAUUCUAUCUGAAUUGCAAGGUAUUACAACAGCUCUGAAAGGCACCCUAAAAAAACUAAUAAUUUAGCGCUGUUUGAAAAAAAUUGUUGACUGCCUACCCCCAUCAGUUGUUUUUGUCUGCAUCUAGAGAAUGCCAUGUAUGUGGACGAAAAGGAACAAAUUCUACCAACCAUCAGAGCCUUCUAUCAGGAGAGAAAAUCAGGCAACCCAUAUAUUUCUUGUCAAGCCUGACUCAAGAUUCUCUUCCUUCAAGAAGGAUUCCUGAUCUCACUCCACCUGAAGUGGAUGCCUCUUCUUUAGUGUGCAUCAGAAUCCCCUGGAAAAGUGAAAACAGAGUCUUGGGCCCCUCCCCCAGCACUUCUGAUUUGGUAAGUCUAGGGCGGGGCCCGAGAGGAUUACUUCUAACAAGUUCGGUGGGGGUCAGGGGGCUGUUGCUGCAGGUCUGGAAUCACACUUUGAGAACCACAGUUUUAGCGUGUAUUCACUCAGUUUAUGCAUAAAGAAUGCUCCUUAUUUGUUUCUUAUGCUGGAAUUUGGUUUUGCUAAAUAUUGUUUGAAACCAGGUAGCUGUUGACUGUGGCUCAGAAAGUUUUCUCUGCAGCUCUGCAGUUGGAUUUAUUUAUUAGGAGUUGAUCUGAAUAUUUUCUCACACUUUUGGGUACAUUGGUUUUUCAGGACAUUUCGUGUGUGUGUGUUGUGUCUUUCUGAGCACACUAUCUUGGUCUGGGCCUUUUGUCCCUGUGUUCGCCCUUACCGUAUCUAGUCCAGUGCUUGGUCUAUACCAUGUGUGCACCCAAACAUUAAUAGCUAAAGAUAAAUUAAAAUGCAGGUAUAUAAGCUAUUUAGUGAGUAGUUCUUGCUAGAACAACUACUACUGAUAUAAAAAAUGAGGAUUAGGGAAGGAGUUGGUCUGAAUCAUUCAACCUAUAUAUCUAUAAUCAUUAGUUAAAUGGAAAUUAGUUAAUUGUCCAUAUUUCUUUACCUUUUGUCUCAGUGAAAGAAAAAUAGGCCAAACACUGUGCUGGAUGUCAGCAUAUGACUUCUAACUAUUUUGUCAUGAGUUUAGUGGGUAAAUUGUAGCAAAAUGAUCUCCUUCAGCCUUCAGGAGUAAGACGAACAUAGCCACUCUUACCUAAACUGAUUCAUUGAAAAAGACAACCAGCAGCAACAACAAAAUCCUUUGUAACUGUAAAGCGCUAUCCGUAUAUUUAGUAAAGAUAAUCAAUUACAUAUCAUGGGUUUUACUGGUCAGAUCUAUUUCUUUACAAACCACACUUUUAGAAAGAGAAGAAUUACAAGCAGUAGUGCAUGGGUCCACUGAGGACAAUAUAGUAUAAUGGCAAUCAUUUGAAGAUACUGAAGAUUAAAGCUGGUGAUUUACCAGCAUGGCAUAAUGGGUGUAAGACUUUAUAUGGCACAUGUUCUAAUUGCUUAACCCAUCAAUGCAGGCACAGCCGUUAAUCUGGUAGGACCCAUAGACUCUGCCACUGGUUCCCUGAU
rnacentral:lncRNA from 1 species